rnacentral:rRNA from 1 species
UACGUAGGUGGCAAGCGUUGUCCGGAUUUACUGGGCGUAAAGAGCGCGCAGGCGGUCGUUCAAGUCGCGUGUGAAAGCCCCCGGCUCAACUGGGGAGGGUCACGCGAUACUGAUCGACUCGAAGGCAGGAGAGGGAAGUGGAAUUCCUGGUGGAGCGGUGAAAUGCGCAGAGAUCAGGAGGAACACCCGUAGCGAAGGCGGCACUCUGGGCCGAUACUGACACUGAGGAGCGAAAGCGUGGGGAGCGAACAGG